UGCAGCUGCCCUCUCGGUAGAGGAACAUGAACCAGGAAGAAAAGGAAACCAAGCGAAGGAGGGAACGGAACUGCCGACCGAACGAGUAUGUUUUAAAACUUUGAAGCAGCAGUUUCCUGCCAAUGGCUCCUCCACUGGAAUAGCAAUUUAACAUUUCAUGAGGGAUUGCUGUCUAGCUUGACAUUCACGGCUCAGAUGACAGCACCGCUUCAAACAAAACGACUACCCAGCUAAGCAGCACCCAGCCAGCCUGUCAGUGGGUCCUGCUUUUGUUUUUGUUUUUUAAACUUACAUUCAUUUUUGUCGUGUGUGUGUGCGUGCGUGUGUGUGCGUGUGUACGUGUGUGUGUGUGUACGUGUGUGUGUGUACGUGUGUGUGUGUGUGUGUGUGUGUUCGUUCGCCGCCUGUGCGUGGGAGCAUGCCGCAAGGGAUGGUGAUUGUCAGAGGGCAACUUAUGGGACAGUUUCUUUCCUGCCACAUGGGUUCUGGGGACUGAACUCAGGUCAUCAGGCCUGGCGGCAAGUGCAUCUACCCACUGACCCAUCUCACCAGCCCAUGCUGGUUCUAUUUUAAUUCUCUUCAUAGUCCCCUCCACUGUAGGAUUCUCCUAAACUACAAUUACUUGAAAGAAGGGAGAUUUUUCUAACUUAUGGCUCUAUCCCCAGUGCCCACAAUGGUUUGUGGUUCCAAACUCAAUACAUAUUCUUGCAUGUGCAGGUGUUAUUGAGAUUAUAUGGAUGGUGAAAUCACUUUCACCGAUUGUGAAAGUGUCGAUGACAAGGACAGGCUGGCCAUUGUGUUCUUGGGACCAAAUGUUCUCUACGAAACAGUCAGAACUAGGAGAAGGCAGUGUGUUGCACGAAUCCUAAAUGGUCUUAUAAUCAAAACCCAGAGCCAGAUAUUGGAAUAAAUACUGAACAAGCCACAGCCACUUCUCACCUCGCCAACUCCUCAGCUGAAAAGAGAAGAUCUUGUCUCCAUGAAUCCUCAGACUGAAUGCCUCUGAGUCCUCUCAUCUGAAAGGGCCUAAUUCCUGUCUCCUUCCGCCAUAUAUUCCUUUCCCUGCCCAGCCAUAUCACUUCCUGUCUCAACCUUCCUAGUGCUGGGAUUAAAGGACUCAUUUCGUUGGAGGACAGAAGCAAGCACUACCUUCAAUGAUGAGGUCGUUACAACUUCAGAGCAAUUCCAGCCUUCAAGGAAACAUGUUCAGGCAAGCAGACCUCUCUAGGCUAGACAGACUUUUGUGUUGUGUUGUAUUUGGUGGCCACAGUACAGUCAAGAAGAUGGCCAUCAGGACAACAUUGCUGCAGGACUGGACAAUCUGGAGGGCCUCAAAUGAGUAUGAGGCAGGGAGGAAGGCUACCCCAUGCUGUUUUACAUUAGACACCUAGGACACAGUCCACAGAGCUGCAGACAUCUUCUGUUGUCUCACAGAGCUUGUGAGGUGGUCCCACUUUGUUCCGGAAGUCCUUAUCCCACGUGUGAUGUUCUGCAGAUCAUAAAAACCCAAAGGAUCAAGGCGUGAAGAGUUCAAGCCCCAAAAAGCACCCUCUAAGGUUCUGGUGGGAGCCCAGCCAGUGCCAUCACUAGGAUAUUCUCUUGGGAGCUCUGACCCGGUUUCCAUGGUGUUGGGGUACCAGGCUGUAGUCAAGCACCUCACCUGGGGAGACACUGCGCUGUCUGCAUCAGGAACCUCAGCGUCUACUUGAAACUGCACAUUGGUGGUAGGCCUUAUCUGGGCUUCCAGUCAAUUAAAAAGCAAGCUCACCUGAGUCAGAAACUUCACUUUACACAUUAUCAGUUAGGUUCACGUCUGUGCCUUACUUCUCUAACAAACCUUUGUCUCUCACAGAAGCCCUCUGAGCAGAGUCAGACAUGAGGGCUGGGACCCUCUGAGACCUUCAUUCUUCUUCAGUUGGCUAUUGAGUGUCGUUAUUAUAACCCAUCCUCUAGGCACCCCAAGGCAGACCAGCAGUGGGUGUGCCGGGCCCUUACAGCCAUACUGGUUCCUGGCCAGAAAAUAUUAUCUUAACCUGUUAACAAAUAUACCAUCUAAGAGAAUCAAUUUCUAGUGUCUAUGAACUCCUAAUGUACUGUUCUACCCUGAAAUAAGCUUCAUUAAUAGAUGACACAUCAGUGUCUUCCUCUGGGCUCUGUGAAUGAGCAUAGUGUGCCAUCCAUACACAUGAGUGAACAUAUAUGACACAGGUUGAAAAUUUACACAGAUAGAUACAUACACCACACUCACAUAUAGAAAAGUACACACCACACACACACACACACACACACACACACACACAGAGGAGUUCCACCUCUUGGAAUUCGCACUUUGAUCCCAGAAUCUUAGCCUUUCCUGGGUCUCUGUGGCUGCAUCCCUGGCUCUUAUAUAUUUUAUGGGACAUAGUUCUCACUAUGUUGUUGCAUUUCCUCUGACUCCAAACGCAAUGAAAAAGUCCAGGCUGAUGUGGAGGAGUGUGCCAGAAUCUCAUUGAUCUGAGGCUGAUCUGACACCCUGAGAUCUGAUCACACUAAGUGUGUAAUCACGGACACAACCUGGGAGAAGAGACCACUUCCUAGGCAGAUCAUAUACAGAAGAGAGGUGCGUCCUGUUCAUGGAGAUGGAACCCCUCGGUGGGCAGAACGAUAUUUCUUCCACAACAAAAGGUGUCAGUGUGAGAACUCCAGUUCUGAAAUGAGAAAAAGCAGACUCAAGACCUGGAUCCCACAUACAAUUGAUUCUGGAAGCAUUUCUUGGUAGCAAAAAUGUGUGUGUAAAUUGAUGCUGGACAAGGCUGUUCGAGUUGGAUGGGUCUGAGAAGACAAAACAAUCCAAGAAUUCCCAGUGAGCCAGCCAGCCAUGUCUGAUAUACUCAGAUGACCAGGAACUGAACAGCUUACUCCUCCUCCUUCACUGCACUUUGCAAGUGUGUGGAUUCCUCCUGACUGCACAGGCUCACAGCUGGGGAAAACAUCUGACUCUCUCACCUGCAUCUGGAAGUGUAAGGAUUGCUGAGUGCACAGGCUCACAGCUGGGGAAGGCUGACUGUCACAUCUGUGUCAGGAGGUGUGCUGGUCCCUGACUGCACAGGCUCACAGCUGGGGAAGGCUGACUGUCACAUCUGUGUCAGGAGGUGUACUGGUCCCUGACUGCACAGGCUCACAGCUGGGGAAGGCUGACUAUCUCACCUGUGUCAGGAGGUGUGCUGGUCCCUGACUCCCCAGGCUCACAGCUGGGGAAGGCUGACUAUCUCACCUGUGUCUAAUUGAGACAGGGCAUUGCAAUUUGAAGAUCUUCCUCAUUCAAGAGGAAGUUUUGACUCAUGAAAGGUAAGACAGGAAUCAACCAAUCAUUUAGAAGCUUCCAAAUAGUUCGGCCUGAUGAUAUAUACGUGGUGGCAAGAUCUCAAAUCAGGCCUGCUCCGGCUAAGAAGUCAGACAAAACAAAUGGAAAACAAAUUCACUGAGAUAUUUGAUAACUUUCUUUUUUUCUGAGAUGUUUGUAGGUUUUCUUUUUUAAAUCAUUUACAUGUGUUCUGUGAGUAUGUGUUAAUGAUCUGUGUCUAUUUUGAAAAUGUGCGUUCAUGUGUGAGCAAGAACACACAGGUGCUUCAGCACACCUGUAGAGGUGAGCAGACGGCCUCAAGUGCUGUCCUUCCCUGACGUUUUGGUCAAACAGAGUCUCUUCUGUGCUGCUGUGUCUGCCCCGCUGGCUGUGCUGUCAGAAGCCGGGGCUUUUCCUGUCUCCACGGCCCCCCACCUUGAGAGAACUUUGAAUACAGAGGUGGCCAACCCUCCCCGAUAUUCAUGUGCUUUCUGGAGGUUCUGUCCCAGGUCCUAAUACAGUCACUGCUAGCGCUUCAUCCACGGAGUCACCAUCUCCCUGGCUACACUUGAGGAUUUCCUCUGAGGGUCUACCAAAUGCUGAGAAUGAUCUCAUGCAACGGAAAUUCUCUUACCUUCAUAUCUCUGUUAUGUCCAAGAGUCUGGCUUUCGGAGAAAAACAGUGCAGCGCCACACACUCCUUACGAAGGGAGAUGAUUUCAGUAGAUAUUUACUUGUGACUUUUUAAAUCUCUACAGAGCCCAUAAAAAGUUCUGACUUUCAACAUGUUUGAAGACAUAUGACCUGACUUAACCUAUGUCAACGGCCAUUUUUACAAGACAGGGUGGAAGGAUACACAUAGUACUCAUUACAUGAGGUUCUGUCCCCACAGCAGAGUCAGCGGACCACGGAGCAAAAGCCUGAGGACAUGGACAAGGGGACACAGCAUUCUCUGUGGUGCUCAGUGCUCCAGACUCCAGACACCUGUCCACCAGCACUGCCUCAGCUGACCAGUGAGCUCCAGUCUCACUCCUGUGGGGCUGACCCAGACGCAAUGGGGACCACUUCUACACAAGUCUUUUCCAAGUCAGGAACCUGUGGUGACUAACCUGGCCUUGUCAGCAUCACACUUUCCCCGGGCUGAGGGGCUGAUGUCGAUGUGCUGGGCACUAACUCAUCGGAGGCUUCCUCAAGGCCACACCAGCGCUGGCUUGAAAAGUGUGGUUUGUACUGAAGAGGCCUCAGCCUUUGUAGAUGACCGUGUGCACCAGGGUCCACCUCCCCACUCUUUUCUAUACCACCAAUAAUUGGCCCCGUAGGACCAGAGUCUCCCUUGGUAAACUAUUUAGAUGUUUUUUGUAGGUUCUUGAAUUUUUUCCCCAGAAGGCAACAGUCUGUAACACUUCCUCUUGUUUUUUCUUCUAUUAAAGAGAAAUGGAUAUAGGCCAAUACUUCACAUCUCAGAAGAAAAAGCUUUGUCAGCAUGGAGAUGUCCAGAGCGUAGUUCUAUUCAGGUCUGACAUGCUAGCACAGAAACCAUGCUUCCCUCAGUACCCCUAGAGCCAUGGAACAAUGCCACCCCUCACUUACUGAAUUGCUAGCUGUCUUCAGUAACAGAUAAAUCUCAAUCUUCUCAGGAUCGUGUGUGUGUGUGUGUGUGUGUGUGUGUGUGUGUGUGUGUGUA